AUUGAACGCUGGCGGCAUGCCUUACACAUGCAAGUCGAACGGCAGCACGGGAGCAAUCCUGGUGGCGAGUGGCGAACGGGUGAGUAAAGUAUCGGAACGUGCCCAGUCGUGGGGGAUAACGUAGCGAAAGUUACGCUAAUACCGCAUACGAUCUAUGGAUGAAAGCGGGGGAUCGCAAGACCUCGCGCGAUUGGAGCGGCCGAUAUCAGAUUAGGUAGUUGGUGGGGUAAAGGCUCACCAAGCCGACGAUCUGUAGGUGGUCUGAGAGGACGACCAGCCAUACUGGGACUGAGACACGGCCCAGACGCCUACGGGAGGCAGCAGUGGGGAAUUUUGGACAAUGGGCGAAAGCCUGAUCCAGCCAUGCCGCGUGCAGGAUGAAGGCCUUCGGGUUGUAAACUGCUUUUGUACGGAACGAAAAGGUUUGGCCUAAUAAGCUGAGCUCAUGACGGUACCGUAAGAAUAAGCACCGGCUAACUACGUGCCAGCCGCCGCAGUAA
rnacentral:rRNA from 1 species